rnacentral:rRNA from 1 species
AUUGAACGCUGGCGGCAGGCCUAACACAUGCAAGUCGAGCGGAUGAAGGGAGCUCGCUCCUGGAUUCAGCGGCGGACGGGUGAGUAAUGCCUGGAAAUCUGCCGGGUAGUGGGGGAUACCGUCCGGAAACGGGCGCUAAAACGGCAUACGUCCGGAGGGAGAAAGUGGGGGAUCUUCGGACCUCACGCUAUAAGGUGAGCCUAGGUCGGAUUAGCUAGUUGGUGGGGUAAAGGCCUACCAAGGCGACGAUCCGUAACUGGUCUGAGAGGAUGAUCAGUCACACUGGAACUGAGACACGGUCCAGACUCCUACGGGAGGCAGCAGUGGGGAAUAUUGGACAAUGGGCGAAAGCCUGAUCCAGCCAUGCCGCGUGUGUGAAGAAGGUCUUCGGAUUGUAAAGCACUUUAAGUUGGGAGGAAGGGCAGUAAGUUAAUACCUUGCUGUUUUGACGUUACCAACAGAAUAAGCACCGGCUAACUUCGUG